rnacentral:rRNA from 1 species
UACGAAGGGGGCUAGCGUUGCUCGGAAUCACUGGGCGUAAAGGGUGCGUAGGCGGCUUUGUAAGUUAGAGGUGAAAGCCUGGAGCUCAACUCCAGAACUGCCUUUAAGACUGCAUCGCUAGAAUCGUGGAGAGGUGAGUGGAAUUCCGAGUGUAGAGGUGAAAUUCGUAGAUAUUCGGAAGAACACCAGUGGCGAAGGCGACUCACUGGACACGUAUUGACGCUGAGGUGCGAAAGCGUGGGGAGCAAACAGG